UAAGCAUCAGGUAACAUCAAAUCGUACCCCAAACCGACACAGGUGGUCAGGUAGAGAAUACCAAGGCGCUUGAGAGAACUCGGGUGAAGGAACUAGGCAAAAUGGUGCCGUAACUUCGGGAGAAGGCACGCUGACACGUAGGUGAAGUGAUUUACUCAUGGAGCUGAAGUCAGUCGAAGAUACCAGCUGGCUGCAACUGUUUAUUAAAAACACAGCACUGUGCAAACACGAAAGUGGACGUAUACGGUGUGACGCCUGCCCGGUGCCGGAAGGUUAAUUGAUGGGGUCAGCGCAAGCGAAGCUCCUGAUCGAAGCCCCGGUAAACGGCGGCCGUAACUAUAACGGUCCUAAGGUAGCGAAAUUCCUUGUCGGGUAAGUUCCGACCUGCACGAAUGGCGUAAUGAUGGCCAGGCUGUCUCCACCCGAGACUCAGUGAAAUUGAACUCGCUGUGAAGAUGCAGUGUACCCGCGGCAAGACGGAAAGACCCCGUGAACCUUUACUAUAGCUUGACACUGAACAUUGAGCCUUGAUGUGUAGGAUAGGUGGGAGGCUUUGAAGUGUGGACGCCAGUCUGCAUGGAGCCGGCCUUGAAAUACCACCCUUUAAUGUUUGAUGUUCUAACGUGGACCCGUGAUCCGGGUUGCGGACAGUGUCUGGUGGGUAGUUUGACUGGGGCGGUCUCCUCCUAAAGAGUAACGGAGGAGCACGAAGGUUGGCUAAUCCUGGUCGGACAUCAGGAGGUUAGUGCAAUGGCAUAAGCCAGCUUGACUGCGAGCGUGACGGCGCGAGCAGGUGCGAAAGCAGGUCAUAGUGAUCCGGUGGUUCUGAAUGGAAGGGCCAUCGCUCAACGGAUAAAAGGUACUCCGGGGAUAACAGGCUGAUACCGCCCAAGAGUUCAUAUCGACGGCGGUGUUUGGCACCUCGAUGUCGGCUCAUCACAUCCUGGGGCUGAAGUAGGUCCCAAGGGUAUGGCUGUUCGCCAUUUAAAGUGGUACGCGAGCUGGGUUUAGAACGUCGUGAGACAGUUCGGUCCCUAUCUGCCGUGGGCGCUGGAGAACUGAGGGGGGCUGCUCCUAGUACGAGAGGACCGGAGUGGACGCAUCACUGGUGUUCGGGUUGUCAUGCCAAUGGCACUGCCCGGUAGCUAAAUGCGGAAGAGAUAAGUGCUGAAAGCAUCUAAGCACGAAACUUGCCCCGAGAUGAGUUCUCCCUGAGACUUAGAGUCUCCUGAAGGAACGUUGAAGACGACGACGUUGAUAGGCCGGGUGUGUAAGCGCAGCGAUGCGUUGAGCUAACCGGUACUAAUGAACCGUGAGGCUUAACCUUACAACGCCGAAG
rnacentral:rRNA from 1 species